UAUACAUGCAGUCGAGCGAUCGAUGGGAGCUUGCUCCCAGAAACAGCGGCGGACGGGUGAGUACACGUGGGCACCUGCCAUAAGACUGGGAUAACUUCGGGAAACCGGAGCUAAUACCGGAUACGUUCUUUUCUCGCAUGAGAGAAGAUGGAAAGACGGUUUUACGUUGUCACUUAUAGAUGGGCCCGCGGCGCAUUAGCUAGUUGGUGAGGUAAUGGCUCACCAAGGCGACGAUGCGUAGCCGACCUGAGAGGGUGAUCGGCCACACUGGGACUGAGACACGGCCCAGACUCCUACGGGAGGCAGCAGUAGGGAAUCUUCCGCAAUGGACGAAAGUCUGACGGAGCAACGCCGCGUGAACGAAGAAGGCCUUCGGGUCGUAAAGUUCUGUUGUUAGGGAAGAACAAGUACCAGAGUAACUGCUGGUACCUUGACGGUACCUAACCAGAAAGCCACGGCUAACUACGUGCCAGCAGCCGCGGUAAUACGUAGGUGGCAAGC
rnacentral:rRNA from 1 species